CGGGCGAUGUGUCAGAGGCUCAACCAGAAGGACAACUUCUAGGGGGCGAGGGCGGGGCGCAGGCGGGCGGGCCUGAGAGCCGCGCGGCUUCUCCGGGCUGAGUGCCCGGCGCCCGGGGAGGCGCGUGGCACGCCCGCUGGGCUCUUAGUCGCGGCGCUGGCGCGGGGCCUACUAAGGGCUGUCAGAGUAGGUUUGGGCCACUUUUUGGUCCUGUUCGCCACACUUGUCCCCGAGGUAAACUCUUUACCAGCGGGAAGGCGAAAGCUUGGUUGAAUUGAGCGCCUGUGGCUUGCCCAGUAGGCCUGGAAGGGAGUUCGUAGACAGCGUUGACUCAUAUGAGAUUUCCAGACCCCCUAGAAACGCCAGAAAUAUGGUCCCAGGAAGGUCCCAGGAAGACAAUGGGUGACCCUCCAGUUGAGCACGCUAAAUCCUCGUCUGAGAUUCCAACUCAAGUUAAAGGCUUUGAUGUGAGAUGUGGGCACUCACCUUGCAGAGUGAACCACAAGUUAAUUCAAGGUGCCUUCCAUGGAAUGGAGAAAUUUGUUCUUGCUUUCACCUUCAUGAUAAUGCACUCCUUUGGCAGUUGUUGGAGAAAGAAUUGAGAUUCUGCCACUUGCAACAAAAAAUUCUAAUAAAGUGUCUUCCUCAUCAGUGGAGAUAAUAUAUGAGAAAACUUCAAAUCUAUGCUGGGCUGUUACGUAUGCAUGGUCCUAAUAUAGACUUUUAUUAAACAACUUGAGAUUUAAUUGACAUACAAUAAACUACACAUAUUUAAAGU